CGCCCACAGUGGGACACGCCAUUUGGACGGUCUUGAUUGUUGUAAAUGCAUGCGCGUGCAUGGUGGAUGAGAUACCACAGAUUGAAAAAGGUGGUGAGCGUGCCUCCUCUAUCUCUCUCUCUCUCUGUCCUGAAGCCCUUAUCGUCUUCUCCUCCUCCUCCUCCUCAUUCUUCUUCUCUCUCUGUCUUUCUUCAUUUAAGCCCUUUUCUUCUUCUUCCUUUCUCCCUCUAGCUAACCUGCACCAUGGAGGUGCACCACUUCAACAUGAGUAACCCAGCAAGCAACCCAGAUGGCGGCGAUCGCUUCCCACAGUGGAGCUUGAAUGAAACCAGAGAAUUCCUUGCCAUCCGAUCGGAGCUUGAUCGCACCUUCAUGGAGACGAAGCGAAACAAGCUCCUUUGGGAUGUAAUCUCUUCCAAGAUGAAGGAGAAGGGCUACAACCGCAGCGCUGAUCAGUGCAAGUGCAAGUGGAAGAACCUCGUUACUCGCUAUAAGGGAAGCGAAACGAUGGAGGCAGAGAACAUGCGUCAAUUUCCAUUCUACGAUGAGCUGCGGGCCAUCUUUACGGCAAGGAUGCAACGGUUGUUGUGGCUUGAAGCCGAGGGGGGAGGGAGCAGCAGUGCGAAGAAGAAAGGGUUGCGAUCAUCGUCGGAGGAUGAAGAAGAAUCCAACGAUGAUAGCGAUAAGGCCAAGGGGAGUAAGAAGAAGAAAAGGUUGAAAUCGAAGGUCGGGACAGAAAAGAGCCGCGGAAAUAAUAGUAAUAGUAGAAGUAAUGUUAUCGAGGCGUUGGAGGAAUUCAUGAGGCAACAAAUGCAAAUGGAAGUGCAAUGGAGGGAGGCAAUGGAGGCGAGGGAAGAGGAAAGAAGCAUGAAGGAGAUGGAGUGGCGACGGAAAAUGGAGGCGAUUGAGAGAGAGAGAAUUGCUAUGGAUAACCGGUGGAGGGAAAGAGAGGAGCAGCGGCGGAUGCGGGAGGAGGCGAGGGCUGAGAAAAGAGAUGUGCUUCUUACAACUCUGUUAACCAAGCUCAUAAAUGAUGACAUGUAGCCAUCCUGUGGAGCGGCGGAGGUUCAGAUAUCGUCUGGUUUGGAUUAGGGUUUUGAAGAUAAAUGCUAGGUUUUCUUGUUCUCUUCAUUGCGGAUCCACACACAUUUUUGUUGAAUUUAGAUGUAUAUAGGAUAUUUUUCCCCUUGGAAUCACAACAUAAGAAUGGACCUUGACAUCUAGCUGUUUUAAAUUCAUACUGGUCAUACAUCAGCAUGUACUUGUGGGUGAAUUGGGGAGAAGAUGAGCCAGAUGCGUCUAUUGUGCAGGAAGACAUGAAGCAACAAUCAGAGUCGUUCAUCAUCAAGUCCGACCGCAUAAAGGAGUGCCUCGUAUCAUUUAUUUGGCAUGGCUUAAGGUACGAGGUCAAUAGCAUCAUUAGUUUGUGAUUUUCUAAUUGAUAUUACUGAGUAUAUAUGCAUUUCAGGUCCUAGUUAUGGAAUUAUGACUAUCCAUUUAAUUCCAUGAAAAAUAACAUAUGAUAUUAAAACUUAGGUGAUUCGAAGCCUUAUACACACAAAUUUGUGAUUAAUGAAAAUAAAAAAACGACUUCUAUGAAGUUUUAACCGUUCAA